GAAAUCCAGAGGAGAGGGAAAAGUGUUGUGUUUUUGAAGAACAGUUGAACAGGCCAGACAUCUUCAGCCUGUGAGGUGGCUGAGGAGAGACAUAGCAGAAGUCUAUAAAAUCAUGAGUGGAAAAAAUGAAUUGGUUGCUGCUCUUUCACCUGUUCCAGAAAAAGCACUUUCAGAAGAAACCAAAGGUGAAAACGUCGUGUCACCUGGGCAAAGGAACUAAAGUGAAAGAGCGAUCUCAGCUCCAGGAGUUCACGUUCAAGAGCUGAAACAGAGCCAGCACCUGAUUAAGGCAGAUUCGGUCAGGUCAGGGAGAUGAGCUUGCCCAGGGACUUUCCACUGCUGCUGAAGGAGCUCAAGGUUUAAAACUCUUGUCUGCCCCACAAAAACAUGAAGGACAGGAAUGUGAUUGCCACACAUGAGAUUCCUCUGUCUGGUUGGUAUUGGCAGCUGGAUUAUCAAGAUGUCUUGAGAAAGUACUUCUGCAAGUAUUUUUCAUGUAAUCAAAGCCGUUAGCACUGAAAUAUCUUCCUCAGAAAGGAUUCUCCUGU